rnacentral:rRNA from 1 species
ACGCUCGACACCUACGUGAGGCAGCAGUGGGGAAUAUUGCACAAUGGAGGAAACUCUGAUGCAGCGAUGCCGCGUGAGGGAAGAAGGUUUUCGGAUUGUAAACCUCUGUCUUUGGGGACGAUAAUGACGGUACCCAAGGAGGAAGCUCCGGCUAACUACGUACCAGCAGCCGCGGUAAUCUGAGCGGGCUGGCAAGGC